rnacentral:tRNA from 1 species
GCGCCGUUCGUCUAGUCAGGUCCAGGACACCGGGUUUUCAUCCCGGCAACACGGGUUCGAAUCCCGUACGGCGUA